GCUGUGAACUUUCUCCAUUGCUCAGUUUCAACUGCUAAUUUGUAAAAUGGAGGCCAUCAUUCCUCCGAAGAUUGUUGGGAGAGGCAAUACCAGGACUGUCUGUUCAACAGGUUGGUUGGUAUGAGGAUGAAAUAAUGUGAAAGCACA